UGAACAACAUAUUGAGUUAUUCCAAGAGGAAACAACCCAGAUACUCAACCAAAAGGGGAUCGGCAGCACUGGGGGUGAGGGCCGGAAUCUGUCCGUGUACCUUGCGGUAUGCUGUCGGGACUGGUCUGUUUCUCAAACCAAGGCUCCCCUGUACAAGGUGGAAGUUGCCCUCUCCAAUUCCGACGACCCUUCUUUGCCGCCGGGAGCGGAGCCUACGUUUACCUGGACAAGGAACACUUCGCUCUGUUGUCUUGGCAGAAGGACAGCGGACGCUACAUGUCUUACGAUACAAAGACUGACGAAACUUAUCCAAGGAAGUUAUAUCUGAAGUUGGUUACCUAUCGAACUGGGAGGUGUGUACUCGAGGGGAAGACUCCGGAGAUUGUUGUCUCCUGCCAAUCGGAGCAGGCCUUCAGGGUCUGCAGUUCCCCUGGGUUCUCUGAUGCACCCAUCGCCUUCACUUUAUCCAUAUAAAUAAUGCCAUUGGACACUUUUUUAUCCCACAACACCUUGAGGCUAGGGAAAUCAAAUAUGGGUAGGUUGUCCACAAUAGAAGUUUGAUCACACCAACAGUUAUGCUGGAGAGUGCAUUCAACCGUGGAGGCUACACAAGAUCGAUAGCAUCUCGACUAAAGAGAGAGACGGACGAUUCUCGAGGGGAACAUAUGACACUCACUCCUGGAUAUGGCGUCUGCCCUUCUUGUACUAGUUGUGCGGACGUGGAUGCUUUUGCUUAGAACAAUAUUGUGUAAACUCCAU